rnacentral:rRNA from 1 species
CGCGAGUUGAAGAGAGAGUUCAAGAGAACGUGAAAUCGCUGAAGUGGAACCGGAGAGAGUUAACAUAACUUGGUAGCUAUAUUCUCUAUAUAGUCGCUUAGCUGUGGCUUUGGGGGGUGGACGCUACCUGUUGUUGCGCUGACUGCGUUGAUCAUGCUUUCCUAACAAGGUGUAGUGUUGCCCACAUUGUGGUGUCUUGCUUAUUGGGAGGUUUGUCAUGGUUAACGUCAAGCCUUAGUUUCUAGGGAGUCAGUGUGAAAGUUAACCACCUUUCCGACCCGUCUUGAAACACGGACCGAGGAGUGUAAUUUACACGCGAGUCAAAGGGCUCGAGGAAACCUUAUGGCAUAAUGAAAGUAAAGACCGGUUAACCGGUUGACAUGGGAUCCGACUGAACUUCUUCGAAACGGAGCACCAUGGCCCUGUCUUGUCUGCUUGCAGAUGGGCAGCGGUAGAGCGUGUAGGUUGCGACCCGAAAGAUGGUGAACUAUGCUUGAGCAGGACGAAGCCAGAGGAAACUCUGGUGGAAGUCCGUAUCGGUUCUGACGUGCAAAUCGAUCGAUAGACUUGAGUAUAGGGGCGAAAGACUAAUCGAACCGUCUACAGGUAGUGUACAAAUCGAUCGAUAGACUUGAGUAUAGGGGCGAAAGACUAAUCGAACCGUCUACAGGUAGUGUACUA